GGAGAGGUGGGUGAGCGGCUAAAACCACAACACUGCUAACGUUGCAGGGGAUAAAACCCCUCGAGGGUUCGAAUCCCUCCCUCUCC
rnacentral:tRNA from 1 species